CUGGACCACAAGGAGAUCCUCAACUAAAAGUAUCUAAGGAUGGGGUACAUCCACUAUACAUGCCUUCUUUCUAAAGGUCAGAUAGAGUGUGGCAGGCACCUUUAAGAUAUGAUUUUAUCAUUGAAAACAUUAAGGAGAUCAGCAUCAUUGAUGAUGAUGAUCCAUUGACCUAUUAGGAAGUUGUCAUGAAUAGAGACUCUAACAGGUGGC
rnacentral:lncRNA from 1 species